UACGUAGGGUGCAAGCGUUGUCCGGAUUUAUUGGGCGUAAAGAGCUCGUAGGCGGUCUGUCGCGUCGGAUGUGAAAACCCAGGGCUCAACCCUGGGCCUGCAUUCGAUACGGGCAGACUAGAGUACGGCAGGGGAGACUGGAAUUCCUGGUGUAGCGGUGAAAUGCGCAGAUAUCAGGAGGAACACCGGUGGCGAAGGCGGUCUCCUGGAGCAUACUUGACGCUGAGGCGCGAAAGCUGGGGGAGCGAACGGG
rnacentral:rRNA from 1 species